GAGCUCUCAGGAUGGCACCUGGAGAGUUUCCAGUACUUUACCAGUCUCAGCUACGGGAAGAAGAGACAAGCAGAGGUCUACCCAUUCCAUUCCUAGCUUGGGUGGUGGCUAGCCAGUGGAAGGCAAUCUGCUACAAUC
rnacentral:snoRNA from 2 species